AGGGUUUAGAGUUUAGGAUUUAGGGUUUAUAGUUUAGGAUUUAGGGUUUAUGUUUUAGAGUUUUGGGUUUAGGGUUUAGGAUUUGGGGUUUAGAGUUUAGGAUUUAGGGUUUCAGGUUUUUGGUUUAGGAUUUAAGGUUUAGAGUUUUCGGUUUAUGGUUUAGGAUUUGAGAAUUUAAGUUUAGGGCUUAAAUUUUAGAUUUUUAGAGCUUCGGGUUUUGCAGAC
rnacentral:lncRNA from 1 species